AGAGCAUGCAAACCACCAUCUGAGACAGCAAAGAGAGUAAAACCCUUGUCCACAUCAUGUUUAAAGUUAAAAUGAAAAUGCUUAAAAUUUGACUGCCUCGUGGAAAGUUGCUGGAUAUCCUCCCAGCCCUUUUUAUCCCCUUCAGGGGCUUGAAUGGUCACAUGAAAGAAUAGAGGAGCUAUCCAGCAGAAGAAGCUACUAUUGUGCUGAGAUGCGUCACGGCUGCUUAUUGGGAGGAAGCGGAGCAAUGAGGCAUUGGGGAGGGCAGCACAAUGUAGAUACAAUAGCGGAGCCAAUCUGUCACUCCUGACGCUGCCUCCACCUGCUAAGCAGCAGUGGCUCACCUGCUGGGAAGUCAAGUAAGCAUCUCUGCCCCACAUACUGUGUGUGUCCAGAUCUCUCUCUCUCUCUCUCUCUCUCUCUCUCUCUCUCUCUAAUUUUAAUUAAAUUUUCUGUUUUACAAUUUAGAAUACUCAUUAAAACAUCCUUAAAGUAUCAAUGACUUCCCUCCUUCUCUUUCCAUUGUUCAUUUUGCAUAUCAUAAAUCCCUGCAUAUUUUACAAAAACUAAAUCAUUCAAUAUUGCCCCCAUAUAGUCAAUAAAUGUUUUCCAAUCUUCUCUAAAUGCAUGUUCUUUUUGUUCUCUUAUUCUAUAUGUUAAGUCUGCAAGCUGCGCAUAUUCUGUCAGCUUAGGUUGCUGUUCUUCUUGCUUGUUUUCCAUUUUUGGGCUAACAAAACACGGGUCACCGUAGUGGCAUACAUAAAUAACCUUUUUUUGACAUCUGGGAAUUUCGGUCUGAAUUAUCCCCAAUGAAAAGGACUCUUUGUUUUUUUGAAAAGUACUUUAAAUCAUUUUUUUUCAAUUCAUUAUGGAUUAUUUCCCAAUGCUCUUUUACCCUUUUACAGGUCCACCACAUGUGAAAGAACGUUCCUUCAACCUCAUGGCAUCACCAGCACUAUGUGUGUGUGUCCAGAUCUGCAGGACUUGGGAGCACCCCCAGAAAAGGCUGAUGAUGACUUCCGGAGGCGGCGCCAGCGAUUAAUGGCGGAUUUCCUCCAUCGAAGGAAAUCUCACUGCGAAUUAAGGGUCGGAUCCCGCUUUCGGCGUAGCGGGGGACCCUCAAAAAUCACAGGCGGGAGAAGCCUGUGAGCCUGGGACCCAGCAGGCACAUUUGGCGCCCCCCCCACCUGGUAGGAAGCCCGGCAACGGGCUUUGAAGCGGAGCGGGGAGAGCGCUGUGCUGUGGGCUGUCUGCUCGUUCGUGGUGUGAAGCCGCAAGCUGUUGAUCGGAGAGCGCUGCCUUUCUUCCUUAAAAUCCGGACCUGAAAAUCAACGAUCCGUGAGUAGGAUACAAUUUAAAUUGGAACUGUACAAAACUGGAAUCUGGCCGAAAACGGAAAGAGGCUUAAAAAGGAAGUCAGCCUCUUUAUUUGUAGAUAAAAUAAAGCAUUGAACUUGAAAGCGGA